AUGGCGGCGCGCUCCAUCACCUUCGCCGCCGGCGAGCUCCUUCUCCGUCAGGAUGCGCUACGUUUGGUUCUUCUCGAUGAUCGCGGCAGCACGGUGGACGCCCGAUCCCUACGCAUCGACGAGAUGAUCGACAUCAGGUACAUCGUUCCCUUCCCUUGUCAUUUUGCUAGGGUUUGGGAUCGUCUUCCU
rnacentral:rRNA from 1 species